AGUGAACGCUGGCGGUAGGCCUAACACAUGCAAGUCGAACGGCAGCACAGUAAGAGCUUGCUCUUACGGGUGGCGAGUGGCGGACGGGUGAGGAAUACGUCGGAAUCUACUUUUUCGUGGGGGAUAACGUAGGGAAACUUACGCUAAUACCGCAUACGACCUACGGGUGAAAGCAGGGGAUCUUCGGACCUUGCGCGAUUGAAUGAGCCGAUGUCGGAUUGGCUAGUUGGCGGGGUAAAGGCCCACCAAGGCGACGAUCCGUAGCUGGUCUGAGAGGAUGAUCGGCCACCCUGGAACUGGGACAGGGUCCUGACUCCUACGGGAGGCAGCAGUGGGGAAUAUUGGACAAUGGGCGCGAGCCUUAUCCAGCCAUACCGCGUGGGUGAAGAAGGCCUUCGGGUUGUAAAGCCCUUUUGUUGGGAAAGAAAAGCAGCAGGUUAAUACCCCGCUGUUCUGACGGUACCCAAAGAAUAAGCACCGGCUAACUUCGUG
rnacentral:rRNA from 1 species